CAGGAGUUGUCAGGUUAUCCCUAGGAGAGAUGGGUGUGGAGUCAGGCGCAGGAGAGUAAGAAUUUUCCUAACAGAAACCCUGAGGGAUUCGUUUUUCGUUUUUCUUGGAAUAGCAACACCAUAAUAUUAAUCAAAUUAAUUAAGCUACAUUUCUUAAAAUCAAUCCCAUAUACUAUGUUCUUACAAAAAAAGGUUUUACAUUCUCUAGUACAGCCAAUAUUAAAAACGGUCAAAUGCUUCUCAAAGAUGCCCUCUGGUGGUCAAACUAGCAAUAACUAGAAUUAAUGACAACAAUGGCUGACACUUAAAUAAGUGCCAUAGAAUUCUGCGGCAGCAAAAGCUGUGCUGCAAUAUGGCACAACUUUUAAAGAAAGAACCACUGUAACUAGUGGUAGUUAAUACCUCCACAUGCUACAAGAUGAAGCUGCCCUUCCAGCACUAUCUGCUGCAGAAAGAACCAUUCAAACAGUUCAGUCACACAGCCCUAUCCAGUGGACAUGAUGCUCUCAAGGUCCUGCUGAUCCCUGAUGAGAAUUCACUCACAGAUGGUAUCUAGGCUGGUUAAUUGCACCUGCAGGCCUGUUUGAGGGACAACUGGACAGCACAUUUUAGAAUGCUUGGACCUCAGCUGAGACCCUCUUCUCCUUCCUUGUCCUUGAAGGACAGUCCCUUCUACUUCUACACUUGCUGUUAGGCAUGAUGCCCUCAAAAAUUGGAAUGAUCCCUCAACUGCCCCAUGCUCUCUUUCUCUCCAGAUCAGGGGAAGUUGCUUUGCUUUUGACAAACCCCUCAUCCUAAAUUCUGUUCACUCUUGUUCAACUGCUUUUUUGAUUCAGUUUGUUUAAUUCAAUGAUACAUUUUUUUUUACAGGAAGUUGACAAGGCAAUUGCAUGGAUGGAUGUUGGCAUAGGAGGCGAAAGUGGAUAGAUGGGUGUAGAUGGGUUUGGUUGAAGAAACUCCCUCUGCCUCCUGUAUUCAAAACUUGCCAAAUACAUUCACCAUCCACUUCAGCUAGUAUCACCUGUUUUUAGGCCUGUUUUAAAAUCUUAAGGUCAAGCACUUUGGAUGAAGUGUGAAAAUGUGAUGUAGGCUGCGUUGUCAUGUUUAUGAAUGUGUUGGUAGUGUCUGAACAAUCACGUAUCCAAUGAAGAGUUUCUUAAAUCUGAACAAGGGUUGAAGUUACUGAUUUUUCAUCCAGUAGUCGGCAGUAAUGUGCUACCCACCUCAGGAACCUUGAUUGACCUGGUCCAGUUCAAAUAGUGACUAGAGGCCCAACCUUUGUUCUUUGGGGGUAGUUAACCUUAACCUCAAAUGCAGAUGAAUCCUGUAGGCCACUAACAACCAUGCGCAAUAUAGUAUAACCUAAAAAAAACUGUACGUACACUGUCUCACUGGGUCUUUUCCAAAGAAGUCUAAUGUGAGAGGUUUGCUGUGGCUCUGCAUGAUUAUGGAUUAGAGUAAAAGAGAUUCAUAGCCAAAGGCCCGAACCUACUGGCCUGGCUGACGCCUAAUUCAAAGUCCUCCUGACUUCAGGGUCUGGAAAGGCUCUUUUAAUGUUGUCAGCACGAUGCGUUGAUAACAAAGGGGGCUGUGCUUUUUUUCUGAUUGGUUCUCCUCUGUGUCUUUCUCACUCAAACACCCACAGGCAGAGUCACACACAGCC